rnacentral:lncRNA from 10 species
UGUAGUACAAAUACGCUCCAAACAAAAGAUGUCAACACUCAGGCCUGAUUUCCGCAGAAACCGAGACAGUACCCACUGCCAGCAGCAGAUGGGAAGUCUAAACAGGAGAGACUGAAUAAAGCUGACAACUGAGGCAGGAUAAAGAAGAGAAGGAACAAAGAAGGAGGGGGCAGGAAAAGAAGCCAAGCAGAACAUGCUAGCCUGUCGAUUUUGUCUUCCAUUAAGGCUUCAGCAGAAGAUAAGAAAAGCUAAGCCACGUCAGUGAAGGGAGGACAGCAGGAAGGCUUUCAGGGGAAGAUUUGUGGUGUGGAUUCACUCGGCAUUGAUGAGAGCAGCUCCCCAGACAGAUACCGAGAUCCUUGGCCUUCCUACAACACGCUGGCACAUUUGUCAUGUUAGCCUUUUCACGUGUGACCUUGUUUUGUAUUUGGAAAUUUUUCUUCUUAGAGGACCACUACCUUCUUUCUCUCAGUCUCUCAGCAUGGAAGCUAACUCUCCAAUUAUUGAUUACAAUGUGGCUCCUUAAAGAAUGAAAAACCAAACCAGUGACCAGGAAGAGAAGAUAUGAAGAAAAAUAUAAGUACAUCUUUUAUUGUAAAAAUGAAUAACUAUAGGCUAUAGACUGAAUGUGGAAGCCUAAAUCCCUAGUGUGAUGGUAUUGGGAGGUGGGGCUUUGGGAUGCGAUUAUUAAUAGGUCAAGAGGGUGGUGCCCUCAUGAAUGAGAUUAGUGUCCACAUAAGAAAAGACGCAAAAGAGAUAUCUCUCCCUCCCCAUCCCCACACGGCAUAAGAAUACAAGACAGCUCUCUGCAAACCAAAAAGAAAGCCCUCACCAGACUGGAUCUGCCAGCACCUUGAUCUUGGACUUCUCAACCUCCAGAACUGUGAGAAAUAAAUCUCUGUUUUCUAAGUCACCCAGUCUAUUGUAUUUUUUAUAGCAGCC